UGUAAAAUUAUUAUUAUUAAAUUAUUAUGAGUUAUGGUCUUUAAAGUUAAAAAAUUUGGCGGUAUUUUAGUCUUUUCAGAGGAACCUGUCCUGUAAUUGAUAGUCCACGAUUAGAAUUACUUAUUUUAAAAAUUUGUAUAUCAUUGUAGUUGAAUAUUUUAUUAGAAUAGAAAAUAUUCAUAAAUUUUAAUAAAAAUUUAAAUCAGAUCAAGGUGCAGUUUAUAAUUAAGAAGAGAUGGGUUACAAAAAAGAUAUUUAUGGAUUUUUAAUUUAAAUAUUAUAAAUGAAAUUGGAUUUGAAAGUAAUUUGGUUAAUUUUAAUUAAAUGAUUUAAGCUCUAAAAUAUGC
rnacentral:rRNA from 1 species